rnacentral:rRNA from 1 species
CAUGGCUCAGGAUGAACGCUAGCUACAGGCUUAACACAUGCAAGUCGAGGGGCAGCAUGGUCUUAGCUUGCUAAGGCCGAUGGCGACCGGCGCACGGGUGAGUAACACGUAUCCAACCUGCCGUCUACUCUUGGACAGCCUUCUGAAAGGAAGAUUAAUACAAGAUGGCAUCAUGAGUCCGCAUGUUCACAUGAUUAAAGGUAUUCCGGUAGACGAUGGGGAUGCGUUCCAUUAGAUAGUAGGCGGGGUAACGGCCCACCUAGUCUUCGAUGGAUAGGGGUUCUGAGAGGAAGGUCCCCCACAUUGGAACUGAGACACGGUCCAAACUCCUACGGGAGGCAGCAGUGAGGAAUAUUGGUCAAUGGGCGCAGGCCUGAACCAGCCAAGUAGCGUGAAGGAUGACUGCCCUAUGGGUUGUAAACUUCUUUUAUAAAGGAAUAAAGUCGGGUAUGUAUACCCAUUUGCAUGUACUUUAUGAAUAAGGAUCGGCUAACUCCGUGCCAGCAGCCGCGGUAAUACGGAGGAUCCGAGCGUUAUCCGGAUUUAUUGGGUUUAAAGGGAGCGUAGAUGGAUGUUUAAGUCAGUUGUGAAAGUUUGCGGCUCAACCGUAAAAUUGCAGUUGAUACUGGAUAUCUUGAGUGCAGUUGAGGCAGGCGGAAUUCGUGGUGUAGCGGUGAAAUGCUUAGAUAUCACGAAGAACUCCGAUUGCGUAGGCAGCCUGCUAAGCUGCAACUGACAUUGAGGCUCGAAAGUGUGGGUAUCAAACAGGAUUAGAUACCCUGGUAGUCCACACGGUAAACGAUGAAUACUCGCUGUUUGCGAUAUACAGCAAGCGGCCAAGCGAAAGCGUUAAGUAUUCCACCUGGGGAGUACGCCGGCAACGGUGAAACUCAAAGGAAUUGACGGGGGCCCGCACAAGCGGAGGAACAUGUGGUUUAAUUCGAUGAUACGCGAGGAACCUUACCCGGGCUUAAAUUGCAGAUGAAUUACGGUGAAAGCCGUAAGCCGCAAGGCAUCUGUGAAGGUGCUGCAUGGUUGUCGUCAGCUCGUGCCGUGAGGUGUCGGCUUAAGUGCCAUAACGAGCGCAACCCUUGUUGUCAGUUACUAACAGGUUCCGCUGAGGACUCUGACAAGACUGCCAUCGUAAGAUGUGAGGAAGGUGGGGAUGACGUCAAAUCAGCACGGCCCUUACGUCCGGGGCUACACACGUGUUACAAUGGGGGGUACAGAGGGCCGCUACCACGCGAGUGGAUGCCAAUCCCAAAAACCUCUCUCAGUUCGGACUGGAGUCUGCAACCCGACUCCACGAAGCUGGAUUCGCUAGUAAUCGCGCAUCAGCCACGGCGCGGUGAAUACGUUCCCGGGCCUUGUACACACCGCCCGUCAAGCCAUGGGAGCCGGGGGUACCUGAAGUGCGUAACCGCGAGGAGCGCCCUAGGGUAAAACU